GACGAACGCUGGCGGCGGGCUUAACACAUGCAAGUCGAACGAGUGGGGACGGGUGAGUAACACGUGGGUAACCUCCCAUCAGAGGGGAUAACACUUGGAAACAGGUGCUAAACCGAUACUGAUGGAUGGACCCGCGGUGCAUUAGCGAGUUGGUGAGGUAACGGCUCACCAAGGCAACGAUGCAUAGCCGACCUGAGAGGGGGAGCGGCCACACUGGAACUGAGACACGGCCCAGACUCCUACGGGAGGCAGCAGUAGGGAAUCUUCGGCAAUGGACGAAAGUCUGACCGAGCAACGCCGCGUGAGUGAAGAAGGUUUUCGGAUCGUAAAACUCUGUUGGUAGGGAAGCGGUACUUAACGAGAAAGCCACGGCUAACUACGUGCCAGCAGCCGCGGUAAUAC
rnacentral:rRNA from 1 species